rnacentral:rRNA from 1 species
GCCAGCAGCCAUAUCACCCUGCACCUCACAAGUGGCAGCCCACUGAAGCUAAGCAGGUGUGAGCCUGGUCUGUACCGGGAUGGCAUACCUCCUAUGAAAAACUAAGGAUGCUACUGGAA